UCGUCGCGGCACCAGCAAUUCCACGAUCGCAUAAUACCCGCAUGUUGAUGACCUCCAGGACUCUCCGGCCUCCUCCCUCCAGGCGUACUAUUGUUCAAGAUAGUGUGUGUGACAUAUGUGGGAACGGGGAGGAAGAUGAAUAUCAUGUUGUUAUAUCAUGCACAAAAAGUAUGGCGUUGAGAUUUGCCACGAGGAAAGAGUGGAGGCUUCCAGAAGAAAAGGAGUUCUGGUACACUGGAAUAGACUGGCUACAAAUCCUACCGGACAAGUAUGAUUCAGAGAUAAGAAAGAAAAAUCUGCUGUUGUUAUGGAGAGCCUGGUUUCUACGAGAUAACUGUAUCCACAGUGAUGGCAAAGAAACCAUUUCGAGAUCGGUGAUGUUCCUUGUGCAGUAUGAGGAGGAAAUCAGGAAUUUGUCGCUAUCUGUUGUUGGACAGGGAAACAAGAGUUGCUGGUCCCUGUCUGCAUCUAUGCAGACACACCACACCUAGGAAUCAGCCGAACGCCGAGCCAAAUGCCCAGUGGAAAGAGCCGCCUGAAGGUGUUGUAAAACUGAACACUGACACUGCCUUUUUGUCAGGCACGGGCCAAGCCUAGGCUGGCGUGAUCGCACAGGAUCAUACGGGGCAUGUUGUCUUCUCGGCGAGUAAAUCGAUGAAUAAAUGCAGAUCAGUUGAAGAGGCAGAGGGGCAAGCUAUCCUGAUGGGUCUGGUAUCGCUGUCGAGACUGUACCAAGGCCCACUGAUCAUUGAGACUGACAUCAAAAUGAUUGCAAAUGAAUUGGGACAAGCCAGAUCAAGCCGAUCGGAUUGUUUUCUGGGUUGUCAGUGAGAUAAAAAACACAAGCCGGAUCUUCAGUUCAGUUCAGUUCAGGCCAAGGCCAUCAAGAGGGAACAAAACUGUCUAGCACAUGAGCUUGGCUGCCAGAGCUGGACGGCAUGAGGACUCACUGAGAAUUGCGGACGUGCCCGAGGAGCUUCGUUCGCUGAUGCUAUCUGAAUGUACCAAGUGAUGUGUUUGGUCCUUUUUUUAGGCUAUCUUGAAUGAUUGCAAGUUUUAAUCAAGAAGUCCUCAAUAGGUGGACUGGCUCAAAAUGGAGAAGCACGCUGGUAGCUUUUUGGUUGAUUGUAUUAAGCAUUUAAUUUCAUAGCAAUUCAUACCAUCAAUAUCUUUGGGGUGCCUUGUACUCCUUCCGUAAAAUAAUACAAGAGCGUAGUGAUCUAAACACUCUUAUAUUAUAGUUUACAGAGGGAGUAAUAUUUUAGAAAAUUGUGCCUUUUUCGGCCU